rfam:Punica granatum cultivar Dabenzi scaffold171, whole genome shotgun sequence.
GAAUGAGGUGAUGACAGAUAUGAUUCCCUAUUGGUUUGAUUGCCAAUAUGAUGGCAAUUCAUUUGUAUUAGCUCUAUCUGAUCAUUC